CGUGAUGACAUCAUCGCACAAUGGCAUCACAACGUCAUUUAGCAACUUUUAGCAACAAAUCAACCUUCCUUUAGCAACUUCCCAUUAAAAUUAUUUGGCAACCGCUCCGCCUCAGAGAGAGAGAGAGAG